rnacentral:tRNA from 1 species
GCCUGGGUGGCUCAGUCGGUUGAGCAUCUGACUUCGGCUCAGGUCAUGAUCUCACAGCUCUGUGAGUUCGAGCCCCGCAUUGGGCU